GCCAGCAGCCGCGGUAAUACGUAGGGUGCAAGCGUUAAUCGGAAUUACUGGGCGGAAGCGUGCGCAGGCGGUUCGGAAAGAAAGAUGGAAACUUGUAGUAAAUCUCGGAAUCCUACUUUAACUACCGAGCUAGAGGUGUCAGAGGGAGGUGGAAUUCCGCGUGUAGCAGUGAAAUGCGUAGAUAUGCGGAGGAACACCGAUGCAGAAGGCAGCCUCCUGGGAUAACACUGACGCUCAUGCACGAAAGCGUGGGGAGCAAACAGGAUUAGAUACCCUGGUAGU
rnacentral:misc_RNA from 1 species